GUCUAAGUAUUGCCGCUGCUGACGGGCCGGAGGGCCAGCGCGGUCUCCCCUCGCGCUCACGUGCACCCCGCGCCAUCUGUCCCCGGGUCUCCCAGGAGGCAACGGAGGACCUUUGCGGCACUGCCCUGCCUUGUGCUGUGCCCCCUCCCACCACCACUAAUAGACUGAAACAAUUAGGUGGAAAGAAGAGACUUAUGGCCGUCGUUUGGUGCCUUACUGGUCCCUUGUCCAGAUGCAGGCUGCACGGGACUGCACGGGCUUCCCGACGUCCUUGCACAAGGCAGAUCUUUCCCAAGACCCAAGGCGGCUCCUGGCUCCCACUGGUGCACCCAACCCUGUCCUUCCUGGUUCACUCCUACAGAACUCACUGCUCCCAGGGGAGGCCUCCCUCCACACUGAGCUCCUCUCCCCCUGCCCCAGACUCCUUGGGGUUCUCGCUUCUGUGCCCUCGAGUUCCUGUUCACUGGGGGCUUCGGGACCUGGGCCAGAAACUCGGGAGCCACGGAUUCGGUAGCUGUUACAACUGGUCCUGUCUCUCUGCCUCCACCUUGCACCAACUUCAUUAAACUCGCCUGGACCCUAAUGGGUCCCCCAUCCA